rnacentral:rRNA from 1 species
AGAGUUUGAUCCUGGCUCAGAGCGAACGCUGGCGGCGUGCUUAACACAUGCAAGUCGAACGCGCAGCAUUCUGUAGCAAUACAGGGUGUGGGCGCGUGGCGAACGGGUGCGUAACACGUGGAUAACCUUCCUUCAGGUGGGGAAUAACCCAGUGAAAAUUGGGCUAAUACCGCCAUAACAUGACGAUGCCACAUGGUGUUGUCUUCAAAGCCGCAAGGCGCCAGAAGAGGGAUCCGCGGCCGAUUAGCUUGUUGGCGAGGUAAUGGCUCACCAAGGCUUUGAUCGGUAGCCGGACUGAGAGGUUGGCCGGCCACACUGGAACUGAGACACGGUCCAGACUCCUACGGGAGGCAGCAGUGGGGAAUCUUGCACAAUGGACGAAAGUCUGAUGCAGCAACGCCGCGUGGGGGAUGAAGCUUUUCGGAGUGUAAACCCCUUUC